AGCGAACGCUGGCGGCAGGCUUAACACAUGCAAGUCGAGCGCCCGUAGCAAUACGGGAGCGGCAGACGGGAGAGUAACACGUGGGAACAUGCCCUUCGGUUCGGAAUAACUCAGGGAAACUUGAGCUAAUACCGGAUACGUCCGUAAGGAGAAAGAUUAUCGCCGAAGGAUUGCCCGCGUCCGAUUAGCUUGUUGGUGAGGUAAUGGCUCACCAAGGCGACGAUCGGUAGCUGGUCUGAGAGGAUGAUCAGCCUCACUGGGACGUGAGACACGGCCCAGACUCCUACGGGAGGCAGCAGUGGGGAAGUAUUGGACAAUGGGCGAAAGCCUGAUCCAGCCAUGCCGCGUGGGUGAUGAA
rnacentral:rRNA from 1 species